GUGGUAUACCGGGGUUAGUAUUAGGAACAACAGCAGCUAUUUGAUUUAACUGAGAUUCAAUCAUUUUAUUAAAGCUAAUUUGAUUCUUGAUGGCAGUAGAGAAAUUAUCCAUUCUAUUAUUUAUAUUUUCUAACAAUUUAUCAUUAGAUGCCAAUUUCUUAGAUAGGUUAUCCAUUAGCUUUCGUUGAUUAGACACUAACUCUCUCUCAGAGGUGCAAAAUUAUUAUUAUUGUUGUA
rnacentral:lncRNA from 1 species